UGUAAAAUAUUUAAUGCUACUUGGUAAACUGCAUGGAGUUUUAUUUUAUUCUCAAACUUAUUACUAAUUAUGUUCCUUAAUUCAUAUUUAGUAAUAAUGCAUACUACUUAGGGAUCUAUUUUAUUUUUAGGAUGAUAUUACAAAGGUGAAAUUCAGGCAUAGAAUAAUAUUUUUAAUUAAAUUUAUUCAGUUCCCAUUUGCUCAUAGGUCCUUAAUUUUUUUUCAUUAAUGGUCCUUAAAAGGCCUUAAUUUCCGUGUGCAAAAAUGUGUACGAACCCUGAGGGAGCCUUUCUGAAAUACAUGUAGGCGUAUGCUGCCAGCCAACAUAAUACCUCCCCAAACCAUUAUACCUCCACAACAAUAAUGAGCCCUGAUGAAUGAGAGAUGGUAUCAUGUUCUAGGCUGUCUCCAGAUACAUGUACACAAAAAUGAGUGUCCAGUCUGAAUCUAGACUCAUCUGUAAAAAGCAAGGUACUUCACUGAAAUCUGGCCAAGUCCCAUGUUGGCUGCACGAUGCUAAAUGUGCUCUCAUGUGUGCUGCAGUGAAUGGGAUGCAAAGAGUGUGUCUUCUGUCAUACAGUCCUAUCUCAUAAAGCCUUUGGGAAACUGUAGACUGUGAAACUUGGGUUCCAAUGACUGCAUACAGCUUACCUGGGAGUAUCAAUAUUAAGAGCCGACAAUAUAAAUCCAUCUUUUCCUAGGCAAACAGCAGUGGUAAGAUUAAAAAAUUUUAAGAAUCGAUUCGCUAAAAAAUAAAUAGUUUAAUAAGCUAAAAACUAAACUCAGUGGUGUAACAGCCCUAGUGGGCCAUUGCCUGCAGUGCCCCGAAAUAUGCUUUCUUGACCGUGGGCUCCAGGGUGCGUAAGCAUAUGCCCUGAACAAGUGGUCAGCUUGUCGCAGGACACCCCCUUCCCAGUAUUUGGUCCCCAAGCGAACUUGAUACUCAUUUCAUCGACCCAAAGGAUGAAAGGCUGAGUCGGCUUUGCCCAGCCCGGGGAUUGAACCCCCGACCUGUGGUGCUGCUGCGCAAUGUGCUAGCCACUGCGCCACCGGGCCUUAAAUAGUUUAAUAAGAGGGAAAUAAAUUAACUACCAACAGUGAAUAAAUGUUAACAUUAAUUGUUAAUAGCCAAUUCGGCAAACUAAAAGCUGAAUAUCAUUGCAUUAGAAAGCUCAAGUUAUGGACUGCAUGUGUAAUGUAAAUGGGAUACAUGCCAGUGUACAGAAUCAAAAGUGAUAGAAAAUGUGUAACGUGCAUGUAUUUACAAAAUUCUAUUACAUGCAAAAUGUGUUAACAUGUGUGUUCUUUAAUAUACUCAUUUUUAAUAAAUAACUUAAUUCCUCUAGGAUAACAUUCAGGUUGAAAAUAGGAAGCAUAACAUUAAAGGUUAUCCAGAAUUAGAAGAACUUGAGAAAGAUGCUGGAGAGAGCUUUGAUCCUGAAAAGUACAAAUUUAAAUAGAAAUUCGUUGUGUAAAACCUGUGUAUUUAUUGUGAUUUAAUAUUUAUUAUAAUAAAUGUGAAAACAAUACUGCAGUAA